rnacentral:rRNA from 1 species
AUGCGAUAAGUAAUGUGAAUUGCAGAAUUCAGUGAAUCAUCGAAUCUUUGAACGCACCUUGCGCCCUUUGGCCAUUCCGAAGGGCAUGCCUGUUUGAGUAUCAUGAACACCUCAACUCUCAUGGUCUUCCAUGAUGAGCUUGGACUUUGGGGGUCUUGCUGGCCUGCAGUCGGCUCCUCUCAAAUGAAUCAGCUUGCCAGUGUUUGGUGGCAUCGUGGGUGUGAUAACUAUCUACGCUUACGGUUUUCCACCAGAUAACCUUCAGCAAUGGAGAUUCGCUGGAGCUCACAAAUGUCUCUCUCCAAUGAGGACAGCCCUUUGAAUGUUUGAUCUCAAAUCAGGUAGGACUACCCGCUGAACUUAA